AUGGAACCUGAUGCUAAACCAGUUUUUGACCACCAACGUCGGUUAAAUCUGAAGAUGAAAGAAGUGGUAAGAACGGAAAUAAUAAAACUUCUUGAAGCAGGUAUAAUUUAUCCUAUAGCUGAUAGUAGAUGGGUAAGUCCUGUUCAUUGUGUCCCUAAGAAAGGAGGUAUUACUAUUGUUCCUAAUGAUAAGAAUAAACUUAUUCCACAAAGAAUUGUUACAAGCUAUAGAAUGGUAAUUGAUUUUAGAAAAUUAAAUAAAGCAACUAGAAAAGGUCAUUACCCUUUGCCUUUUAUUGAUCAAAUGCUUAAAAGAUUAUCUAAGCACACGCACUUUUGCUUCCUUGAUGGAUAUUCUGGUUUUUCACAAAUACCUAUUUCUCAACCUGAUCAAGAAAAGACCACUUUUACUUGUCCUUUUGGAACCUAUGCUUAUAAACGUAUGCCUUUUGGUUUAUGUAAUGCACCUACUACCUUUCAAAGAUGUAUGACUGCUAUAUUCUCUGACUUCUGUGAAAAGAUUGUUGAGGUUUUCAUGGAUGACUUUUCUGUUUAUGGGAAGUCUUUUGAUGAUUGUUUAAGCAAUCUUGAGCGAGUUUUGCAGAGAUGUAAACAAACAAAUCUUGUCUUGAAUUGGGAGAAGUGUCGCUUUAUGGUUAAUGAAGGCAUUGUCUUGGGUCAUAAAAUUUCCGAAAGAGGUAUUGAAGUGGACCAAUCUAAGGUUAAUGCAAUUGAGAAAAUGCCAUGUCCUAAAGAUAUAAAAGGUAUUCGUAGUUUCCUAGGUCAUGUUGGUUUCUAUAGGAGAUUUAUCAAAGUCUUCUAUAAAAUUUCUAAGCUAAGCCUCUCACUAGUCUCUUGCAAAAGGAUGUUCCCUUUGUUUUUGAUGAUGAUUGUUUAG
rnacentral:rRNA from 1 species